rnacentral:tRNA from 1 species
GCCUUCGAGGUGUAGUGGUUUAGCACGCUCGAUGCGAAUUCGAGAGGUCCGUGGUUCGAGUCCCGGCGAGGGCA